rnacentral:misc_RNA from 1 species
GAUGAAGAACGUAGCGAAAUGCGAUAAGUAAUGUGAAUUGCAGAAUUCAGUGAAUCAUCGAAUCUUUGAACGCACAUUGCGCCCGCCAGCAUUCUGGCGGGCAUGCCUGUUCGAGCGUCAUUUCAACCCUCGAGCCCCCCCGGGGGCCUCGGUGUUGGGGGACGGCACACCAGCCGCCCCCGAAAUGCAGUGGCGACCCCGCCGCAGCCUCCCCUGCGUAGUAGCACACACCUCGCACCGGAGCGCAGAGGCGGUCACGCCGUAAAACGCCCAACUUUCUUAGAGUUGACCUCGGAUCAGGUAGGAAUACCCGCUGAACUUAAGCAUAUCAAUAAGCGGAGGA